rnacentral:lncRNA from 1 species
CAAAAAAAAAAAAAAGUGUAUUUGAAAUUAUGUGCGUGUAUGCGCAACUAACAAGCCAAUAUGAAUAUAUAUUUAAUAGAUCAUCAGCCAUGAGUAUGCAAACAGGCACUCUAUCUAUAUAUAUAUUAUUUAAUUUGCUUCAACAUCAUCUUGACUCGAAUUUUGACCUUAGAAUUGUUAUUUAAUUUGCAGCAACAUCGUUUUGACUCUUGACUCAAAUUUCGACCUUAGAAUUGUAACAGACCUAUGUCAAUAAAGAGAAUUGUAUCAGACCAUUGCUUAAUUUGCAGCCUCUGAGCGGCUUCGCAAGCCAUUGCAUAUCGGGUGUCAAAUCGAAAACAGUGGUACAUUUGUGAAGAUUCACACCGACCAAUCAUUUCAAUAAAAGUCAAAGCUAUUGCAAGUGUUUUCUGCAAAUGAAGAUGAUCCUAGGAAAACUGAUAUGUAUUCAAUAUACAAGCCCCGUCAUUUCUUGUAUUUAUUCACACAUACGCAUAUCAUCAUCAUCAUCAUCAUCAUCAGUAGAAUUAUUAAUUUCUUUAUAUAUCCAUGAAGAAGAUAACAAGAUGGUACUACUUUAAUGCUUUAUAAUGUCCAAAAUUCAGCAUGAAUUAACAAACAAUGUUUUGUUUAAUUGUACGCCUUUUUUGUUCGGUUAUUAUGCACAUAAUCAAAUGAUUAAUUAAUUAUAGCACGAAGGAUAAUCACCAACUAGUUGAGUGGUAGAGAUCACUCAACUUUCCACACAAAAUUCAAGUGAUCGAGUAAGUUUGUACUUUUUUUUUUUUUAAUAACUUGGUGGAAGAUUUGGUUCUACGUUUUGGAAACAAAUUUCGCCCAUUUUGAGGGACAAAUGUUAGCCAUCUGCGAGCUAUGCCUAUAUAGAUAAAUUGUAGGAUGAAAUUUUCUUCUUGUUUUUGCCACUUUCUAAAGAGUUCUUUUAAGUGUUCUUUGGUGGGAUACAUUAUGUUAUAUAGUCCUUCUCUUUCUCUAUCUCUCUCUUCUUUUUUUCUUCUUUUUUUAUAUGCUGACAUACUAUUAAAUCAUAUGGUUUGAUAGAGUCAAUUUUAUGCAUUAUUCAUAAUGCCGAUCAAUUUUAACAAUUUAGCCAUAUUUAAUUGGGCAUUUGUGUAUAUAACCUCCAACAAGUGUGUGAGUCAAGUUUCAGCAGUAUAGUUUCAAUUUUAUGCUAUAAGGAACUAGACAAACAAAUUAUGAGCCAAUUUGGAAAUGUUGUACCUUUUAAAAUAAUUGUUGUUAGUUGUGCUAUAGAAAUAAUCAGCUGUGCAGAGAAUCAAUUAUGUGUUUGGUAAAUUUUGUUUUAAGAAGUAAUAUGAAUUUUGAAAGCAGUUAUAGACAUUUGGUAAAUUUUACUAUUAAACUGUUGAGAGAAAACAAAUGAAUAAAAUGUACAUAAUGUAGGAUAAAUUUUAUUUAUACAUAUAAAAACAUGUACAUAUAAUAAUUUUAAUUGUGUAUUAUAAUAAUUUUUACUAAAAAUAAAAUUUAUAAUAUAUUGAUUUUAUUUUUUAUUUUUUAUCUUAAAACAAUUGAUAAUAAAAUUUAUAAUACAGUGAAACAAAUUUAAUAAUGAUUCAACCAACAAAUUGAAAUUAAUAAAUUUAGAUUGAUGAAUUAUAAUAAAAAUAUAUAUUAAAAUAUUGAUUUUGUUUCCAAUUUGAAUAAGGAUAAUUUCGGGUUUAGGUAUGAAUUUUAAGGAUAUUUAUGGAAUUGUAUUAAAAAAAUAAAAUUGAUUCUCAAAAUCAGAAUUUAAAAGCUACUCCUUCCUUAUUUUUCAAAAUCAACUGUAAGAAGGGCUGAUUUUGACAAAAGUGAUUUUUGAUCUUUUUUUUUUUUUACCAAACACUAAAAUUACUUUUUAAAUUUUUAAAAUCAUUUUUAAACCUCCCAAAAGCACUCACAAACGGACCCUACGUCAUGAGGAGCCAAUAUGGUUUUUUAUUUUUUGGUUAUUCUAAAAAGUAUCCCAACCACAAUUAGGUUGAAUGUAAUUAAUGAAAUCUGCUGACUGGGUCUCAACUCCGAAAUCUCAAUGCAAUUUACUAAUUUUGUUAUUAGUUUAAUUACAAGAAGUUAUGUAAGCAUACUUUUUUUUUUUUUUGUUGUGAAGACUUAUAUAGGCAGACUUGCUUAAUUAUUUGUUGAUUUAUCUCAUAAUUGUUUCUGCUUUAUAUGAUGCCCCUCCUAAUUGCUAUAAGCAUUUGUUUAUGUAGGGUCUCUAAUUAAUUAUCUUUUUUCCUCUAAUCUUCUAACUAGGGAACAACUAGAGUGGAGCUAUUGGCACCCUCAUUAAUCCUCUCAAAACCCCAUUUCUGCGUAAACUCACGUACGGUCACAAACUAUUUACACCGACCUUAUCAGGACAUGAGUUUCUUUGUAUUACCAACUCUUGUCACUUGUACAUAACGGAGGAAAAAAUUCUGCGAGAAGGAAUUGAUUUAUCUACAAUUGAAUUUCCAAUUUUUUUUAUUUUUAAUUUUCGAUGCUUGAAUUUAUUUGCUGCGUAUGGUGAACAAAAUGCCUGUUCUCGCAAAAAUAUCCUCACGUGCUUCGAAGUUCUCAGUUAGUGUUUAGUACAUCAUUGACGCAGCUACUGAUAACUGGAAUCACAAGAGUUUUUCUAGUCAAGCAAUGAACAGUAGGGGAAUCUCAAUGAGAAAAUAUUACCAUUAAUCAUCAUACAAAUUUCAUCCGCUUUCUCCAUUUCAAUAUAUAUACACACACAUACAUAUGUUAAUGGAGUUUUUAUUUUGUUAACAAUCGCUUCCAUUCGAGUGUCUAUUUGUUAUUUUGUUUAUCAAAACCUCAUCUCUUUUCUUUUAUGAAUUCAAAAGCAGCCUCUACUACUGUUUAAUUAGGGAAAUAGAGUAGGCGUUUUAAGAACAAAUAUUAACUUUCGAAAUUAUUUAAAGUAAUGCUACACAUAUCAAAUUUUUUAUUCUAUAAAUUAUUCUAAAUGAUGUAGUAUUUAUCAAUUAGUUGGUGAGAUAAUAUAAUUAAUUCACUUGAUUUUCUUAUAAAAAAUCACUAAUCAUUAAAUAAGUGACACAUCGUUUGAGAUAAAAAAAAAUUUUAAAUAUCUAUCAUUACUCAAUUAUUUAAGAGAUAUAAUGAGAAGAAUGGUCUUAAUAGGAUUAUUGAGGGGUGCCAAUAACAUUACUCCAACAAUUAACUUAAGGGUGAUGAUAAUAACUCGCCACUUUUGGUAUAAUAACACCCCACUUAUGACCUUUUUUUUUGCAUUUACAAUUUUAUCCUCAAACAACUGCUUCAUUCUUUUUUUUUUUUUUUAGGCUAUAAUAAAUGGUCAUCCACCAAUGGCAUGCAUCUAUUUAUCCAUAAAAUCAAUUACAUGUGACUUUUGAAACCUAAAGAAAAUUGAAAGUUAUGGCUGGUAGUUGAUAACAAUGUAUGGUGACCCAUACAAAGAACAAUAUUGCGGGCCUAAUAAUUUCAAGUUUCCAACUCCAUUAAAGAGUUUAAACGUCUAAAGACCCAAUUUUAUUCCUAAAGUCAAUUUCUCCCAUUCGAUUUUGCUGCAAAUCUACCAAUUUUUUUCAACUGUCUUUGCAUAUCUUGCUGACUAAAUUAUUGAUAUGAUUUCUUGUGUUGCAUUAGUUUCAUGACAUUCUAUCCUCAUGAAUGUUUUUCAUUUUCUUAUAAUUAAUUUGAUUAUUAUUACACAAUAACAAUUGUGUAAAGAUUUUAAUGAGGCAUAUUCUUUGUAAUGAACAUCCAAGGGGGAGUGUUAUGAAUUUGUUAAAAUAAAUAUAGAUGUUCAUAACAUAUAUCUCUUAGUCUCCCCACUAUCUCUCAUUAGCAACCUUUAGCUUUCCUAUAACUCCCACCAUCUCACAAGGAAUUAUGAUUCAUAAUUUUUCGUUAAUUUCAUAGAGUGAUUAUGUAACUAUAAAAAGAGAACUCAUCUUUUUGUUUUGUACACACACAAUUGGAAUGAAUAAAAUCACUCUAUAAUAUAUUCUCUCAUUUUAUUCUUUAUCUUGCGUUGCUUCUUUAUUUGUAUUGCUGGCUAAUAGCUUUUUUUAUUUUUUAUAAGGCUGCCUCAUCUUUAAAAAAAUCAAUUCAUAUUUUUUUAUCAGUUUCAUCAAGUGUAAAGUAAGAAAAAAAGAUAAUAAUAAAUUCUUUUUUCAAAGCCGCGUGAAGCGCGGUUCUAUUUUUUAGUUAGUUAAUACUUGAGAAGCUUUCUUGCAUACUAUGCUUUUCUUUUUUUCUUUUUUUGUGAGUUUUUAUCUCUUAAUGAAUAUUUCUUUUUCAUGAACUGAGAAAUCACGAUGUGAAUAAAUAAAUAAAUAAUUAAAAAAUAAGGUAAAUUUAGUAUUAACUAUAUGUAUUUUAAUUUGGGGGUUAUUAUAUAUAUAGUGCGGUGGAAAUAUCGCUACCCUUAACUUAAUUACAUAUCACUAGUGUAAAUAAAGUAUGAGUUGAACUAUUAAUAUCUCUCCGUAAUCCUUAUAAAAUCCCUCUCCUAUUACAAUAACAUUAAAUGAAAAAAUAUAUCUAAUUAGGCCCUUAUAUUUCUCUCUUUAACUCUUUACACCCGUACAACUACACCAAAUAUUUUUAUAUUUUUAUUUCCCCACAAACACUUUACAUUCUAAACUUUUCUUUUCCUGUUAAGUAUGUAUCGUUUAAUAACUCAAAAUUUUGUAAAAUGAAAAAAUUAUAAUUUAUUUUUUAAAAAAUCAACUGUAAUUAGAUUUGAGUAAAAGAAACUAUUUUUUUAAUCAGGAAAAAACUGAAAAUUAAAAGAAAAGGGAUAUUUUGAAAAUUAAAGUAGGUUUUGACAGAAAAAAAAAGUUGAAAAGAAAAUUGUAGGGUCAUAAUAGUUCCACUCAUAAAAGAUUACUUUCAUUCUUUAUUCUUUGCUGUCGUGCUAUUUGACAUCAAAUCUUGGCUAAUUUAGGUACAAUAUCCACUCUAGAUUAAUGGAAUACCAUAACAAGGCAAAAUAUUUAUCUAAUUACUACAUGUCUUCAAUAAAAUGUAAAUUUUAGAUAUUAAUAUUAAAUACAUAUAUAACCUUAUAGAGCAAAAGCCAGAUUCAUUUACCUACAUUGCAAAACAAAUCAAUGACCAUGGUUAAUUCAUAAAUCUAAUUUGGGUAAAGCAGCAUUAGCUUUAUAAAAUUUUGUAUCUUAAUCGAGAUAGAUAUCGAGUUAUUUGAUAUAUGAAUGAUGUAAUAAUACUGUAUAAUGAUAAAAAUUUAUUUUUGGUCAAACAAAUAUUGAAUUACAUAGCGUUUUAAUAAUAUGAUAAUGUAUGUCAAUCUAAUCUAUUUAUACUAAUUUAUCUGGAGUUAAACGAGAAAGAGAAAGAGAAAGAGCGAGAGAGAACAAAAGAAAAAGAAGAGAAAAGCUUAAUAGUACUCUCUAAAAUCCAAAUUUCAGGAGAAAAACUCAAAUGGAAUAAUUGAGUUGUGCUACCAAAAAUGAGAAACAAAGAGUCCAAAUAGGCCACAGUUGCUUACCUGUAGCUCACGUGCCUGCCACCAAGAGGUGUUUGUGUCUAAAUGGAGACGAAGAAACGAGAAAAAUUCAAAAGGUGUAAAUCAUGUUCGUUGUGGCCCCACGACAUAAACGAGUGACACAUCCACUUAGAAAAUUCCUAAACGCAACUUCAUCAAUUUACAACUUACAUACCGAUAUAACUUGAUAAUUAAGUUUGACACACACGAUUGCUAAUUUAUAUAAUAUAUAUACUUUCUUUUUUUUUCCCACGAAACUACGACAAAUCUUUUUGACCAUAUACAACAAUGUAUAUACUAAUUAGUGGUGUAUAAUUAUUAAACAGCUGUACAUAUAAAAUAAAUAUUAACAUCUACGUUAAAAGAACGACGCAAAAAUUAUAAAUCUUAAUUUUGACUCGACUCGUAACUAACUUUUAUUUUGGGUAGGUUAUUUAUAAAACGGAGACAAAACAAGAAUAAUAAAUUGCCAUUCCAGUGGAUUUACAUGACUCGUGGACCAAACAAGAAAAUGAAUAUUAUUUCUAAGAAAUGCCUCACUAUUAAUUGUUGUUGAGCGUUAACUACUUCAUUAACUCAAUCGGAGUCCAAGACCGGCCAAACACUGUCUUAGCGAAUCGUGUGAAAGGGGUUCGCACGUGUGGCCGCAGCACUCGCGCGCUUCCCCUAUAAAACGGACUUCUCAGCGUCCACAGUUUUUUAACUCACAGCAACAAACAAAUCCCUCCAAACAAAAACUCAAUUAUUAUAAUUUUAAAAUUUUUCAUCCAUUUUUUUCCUAAAAAAAAAAAAAAACAGAGAGAGAGAAGGAAAGAAAAUUCUAAUUCUAAUAAUAAUAGCUAUAAUUGAGACUGCCGCCGGGAAAUCUGAAAAAUGGACGUCCGCCGGCGGCCUCUGAAAGUUGACGACGAAGUGAACAAAGAGAAGCGACCAACUUCGCCGACGCCAAAAGCAUCAGACGCGUUGCCGCUUCCGUUAUACCUAACUAACGCCAUAUUCUUCACGCUGUUCUUUUCCGUUGCGUAUUACCUGCUACACCGUUGGCGUGAGAAGAUCCGUAACUCAACUCCCC